rnacentral:lncRNA from 10 species
UAGAGGAGAGAAACGCAAGCCCAGAAAAGGCAAGAGGUACACAGGCACUCGAUUCGUCAGGCGGUGGCCAUCAGUCAAUGUGACCGGCCGGGGCCAGCAACCAGGGCUCAGUGUACACCUGCCACUGCUGGGGACUUUGGAAGAGGCAGGUGUUGGCCAGUUACUUGGCCUCCACCAGCUGCUCCAGGCGCUGCAGCAUCGUCAGACGCAGGGCUUGGAACCUGGAGGGAGACAUCGCCAAGAGGACUCACUGAGGCCAGACAGGGCAGGGAGGUGGGCAGCAGAGCAAGGGACCUGCAGAUGGCCAGCUCAGGAGAUCCCUGCAGCAGCCUCAUCUCUCCUCUGCCAAGGAGGGGGAAGGCUGUGGCCUGCGCCUCAUGAGGUGCAGUCAAACCAGGCUGUGGACUGCACAGAGCAUCAGAGCAGAGUGUUGUCAUUUCUAUUGCAGACUCUAAUACAGACAACAGCACACUGGAGUGGACAGGGCGGUAGAGCAGAGAUCGGGAAGCCCAUGUUUCAGCCCAGAUUCUGCCAUAACCUAUGCGGCAACCUUCCUUGUGCUGGGCCUCAGCGUCCACUCUGUACGUUGAGUGGACCCACUAGUUGCCCCCCAGAUCCCUUUCAGCUCUCAAAUCUUACGGGGUCAGGACUGACUGCAGAAUGGAAGAUUCCCUCUGACUUUGGUCUCCUCUGCCUGUUUGGGGUCUGGCUGCACAGACAGGAGCCUGUGGAGGAUGUGGCUUUCCACGGGUCAUUCAACCAGAGGCUAACAUCCAUCCUUUCCCCACACACCCCAGGCCCUCUCAGUGAGCUCCUGCCCUUUCCUUCCUAGCUGCCUCCCCACCAGCCCUGGUGGGGUGCCCUCCACAAGUCCUGGACCACACUUCACUUUGCUGAGGGGGAGACGUCAUUGGGACUACAGCCUGGCUAACUCAUGCAUCCGGACCCUGGCGUGGUGUCCCCAGGAGCUGGCAGGUGAGACCUGCUCACCUUUUCAUUGAACUAGCCCUCUGCACCUGAAAACAUCGGCUGAGGCUGGGAGUUCCAGCAUCUGCCACUUUGGGGAAGGCUCAGAAUUCCCACUAGGACAAAAGGCCCUAAUCAGGCCAAGUCUGCCUCAGCAUGCCUGCUCCUUGGAGCCACAUCACCAGCAGAACUCAGAAGCUUGACCCAGCGCCCACUUGGGUUCCUGCCUGACUUUCCUGCCAGGUGUUCUGCAGCUCAUGCCUGCGCUGGUGAGGAUGCCAAGACUGGAUGGGUGAUCGGGGCUGUGUCCCACUGUUUUGGCAAGCUGUCACCCCAGCGUGGUGGCAAUACCGAGCAGGGGGCCAGAGGGUGAUGCUGGGGAGCUAGGGUUAGCAGGCCUUCCCGUACCAGGGUACUGGUGCCCAUGGAGGAGAGAGACCUCCCAGCCGGCACUGGUGCUGUGCUUUGCAGACCUGCCCUGAUGUUCAGGACCCAUGACUGUCUGUUUAAGUGCUGCUUACUUCAUGGUCAGUUUGAUUAUUUCUCUUUCUUCCUCUUCUUUUAAUUUUUCAACAAAACUGUCCA